GGGGAUGAAAGGAUUUCGACAGGGUUAGUGAGGCUUGGUCAGCGAGCAGCGGAGUUGCACCGCUUUAAAAGUAACAACUUAAAAUUAACUGACAAUAAUAAGACAGUUCUUCAGGCUGCGUAAUCGCGCCUGCGUCUGCCCAUAGAGUGCCACGGCUGUGGUGCAGGCGUCGUUUAGUGGCGAACAUGAAUGAGUGAUCGGCUCGGCUCUCAUCAGGUAUCAGAGCCUACCGUAACACUGAGAUUGUUUAUCAUCGCUUUGUGAGGGGAAUCCCAAACGAUAAACUACGCUCGUAGAGCCCUUGUCAAGCUGAUUUUGGACGCGGUUUCGAUUACCGCCAUCUCCACCA
rnacentral:tmRNA from 1 species